GUCCUUUCGGGGAUAUCCGAUAAAAUUGGAACGAUAUAGAGAAGAUUAGCAUGGUCCCUGCGCAAGGAUGACACGCAUAAGGAUGACACGCACAAAUCGAGAAAUGGUUUAAAUUUUUU
rnacentral:snRNA from 1 species